rnacentral:misc_RNA from 1 species
GCAAGAUGUUGUUGCCUUUGUGGAGGAUGAAGAUGCGAGUGAAGGAGAGAAUUUUCAUACGGGCGGUGGCGCUGCUAAAGAAUUCAUUAGAGAAUUGCAAUUUCUUGGUGCUACAUUGCAGCUUAGAGGCAUAAAUCCUAUUGUUCAACCAUUGGUGGACAUGUCAGGGAACAUCCUUGUUUAUAAUGGUGAAAUAUUUGGAGGCAUCCAGAUGAGUAGCGAUAACAAUGACACUGAAAUUUUUAUGCAACAUCUAGGACUAUGUUGUUCUCAUGUUUCCUCUCCGCAUAAUAAAACUCAUACUUCUGGGGAUAAGCAAAGUACUGUUCCAGAACUUCUUUCCAGUAUCAAGGGGCCUUGGGCUUUGAUUUAUUGGCAGGUAACUUUUGGUGGUAAGUUUCUAUUGGUUUAUUUCAGCAGGAAAGGAUGUAUUAUUUUGA